AGAAACAAAUAAAAUAUUUUUGGUAUUUUUCCAUAUUAAAAUAAAACUUGAAUUAAAAUAAUAAAGAAAGGUCAAACUUCAAACUCACUUCAAAUUAACUUUGAAAAGUCCAAGUGAAUUAUCCCAAUUUCAACAAGGUCAAACAAAGUUUGACAAAAAAUUUCAGCAUUUUUAAAAGUCAGAAACUAUUUUAAAUCAAUUAAAAAUGCAUAAAAA
rnacentral:lncRNA from 1 species